rnacentral:rRNA from 1 species
GAUGAACGCUGGCGGCGUGCCUAAUACAUGCAAGUCGAGCGAACAGACGAGGAGCUUGCGCCUCUGACGUGAGCGGCGGACGGGUGAGUAACACGUGGAUAACCUACCUAUAAGACUGGGAUCACCUCGGGAAACCGGAGCUAAUACCGGAGAAUAUAUUGAACCGCAUGGUUGAUUAGUGAAAGACGGUUGUGCUGUCUCUUAUAGAUGCAUCUGCGCCGCAUUAGCUAGUUGGUAAGGUAACGGCUUACCAAGGCGACGAUGCGUAGCCGACGUGAGAGGGUGGUCGGCCGCCCUGGAAGUGAGACACGGUCCAGACUCCUGCGGGAGGCAGCAGUCGGGUAUCUUCCGCAAUGGGCGAGAACCUUACGCAGCAGCGCCGCGUGUGUGAUAGAGAUCUUCGGUUCGUAAUACUCUCUUAUUAGGGAAAAACCAAUGUGUCAGUAACUAUGCCCGUCUUGACGGUACCUAGUCAGAAAGCCACGGCUAACUACGUG